AGCUCCAAUAGUGUAUACUAAAGUUGCUGCAGUUAAAAAGCUCGUAGUCGAAUGUGUGGGUCCGAGAACUCGAACUGUGUCUUUUCAUAAGACAUCAUGUCUCGAAUCGUUCUCGGCCCAUCCUUUUGGAAAGUGCUUCUGCCCUUGAUUGGGUCGGUUGCACGAUUCAAAACAUUUACUGUGAGCAAAUGGGAGUGUUCAACGCAGGCUUUUAGUCAUGCUUGAACCUUUUAGCAUGGAAUAAUAAUAUAAAACUUUGGUUUUAUUUGGUUGGCUUGCUAAAACCCGAAGUAAUGAUUAACAGGGACGGUUUGGGGGUGCUCAUAUUCAGGGGGGACCGGUGAAAUGGGAUGAUCCUCUGAAGAUGAACUACUGCGAAAGCAUUCACCAAGGACGUUUU
rnacentral:rRNA from 1 species